rnacentral:rRNA from 1 species
AUGGUGCCCAUUCGUUGCAAUAAUCUUGACUUGGAUCAUAUCACUCAAAAUCUGCCGGCAACUAGGGCUUCUUUCCCCUUGAGGUACUUGGGGCUCCCCCUCUCUGUUUGGAAGCUAAGGUUGGUGGAUCUUCAAUUUCUUGUGGACAAGGUUGCAUCCAAGUUGACAACGUAUGAGGGUCAAAACAUCACCACCAUUGGGCGCACGGCCCUUGUCAAGUCUGUUCUCACUUCCCAAGUGAUCUACUUCAUCACACCGUUGAUCAUCCCACCAAGUAUCCUCCUCAAAGUCAACCAGCUUGAGAGAGCUUUCCUAUGGUCCGGCUCGGACAAGACGACGGGGGCGAAAUGCAAGGUGAAUUGGGAAAUUGUCUGUAGGCCACUUGAGUAUGGGGGGCUUGGGGUACUCAACAUGGAAAAGUUCGCGCGUGCUCUGCGGCUGCGGUGGCCUUGGUAUGAAUGGAAGGAGCCCACCAAGUUGUGGGUCGGGAUGGGCAACCCGUGCAAUGAGGAGGACCUCAACUUUUUCUAUGCGUCAACCACUAUCACCGUGGGCAAUGGUGCGAAGACACCUUUUUGGGAAUCACCUUGGCUUCUUGGGCGCAAGCCAAAGAACAUUGCACCAUUAAUAUUCGAAGUCUCCUCGCGAAAGAAGUGGAAAGUGCGCGAGGCCAUCAAGCACAACGCAUGGAUGCUCAAGAUCAAGCCUCCAACCGUUAUUUCCGUUGAGUUCAUCACACAAUUUUUCACCCUUUGGAUGCUAUUGGAUGAGGUGCAUCUUGAUGCGCUCGCCGAGGACGACAUUUUAUGGAAACACACGACUAGUGGGCACUACUCGGCGGCCUCGGCAUAUAAGGCGCAAUUCAUAGGGAUGGUGUUUUCACCCAUGGACCAAAUGGUUUGGAAGGUCUGGGGUCCCCCCAAAGUAAAGUUCUUUGCUUGGUUGGCACUUCAAGAUAGAAUUUGGACCGCAGACAGAUUAGCCAAGAGAGGAUGGCCAAAUUGUGGUUUGUGUCCACUUUGCAAGAGGGUGCAAGAAAGCGGGUCACACCUAUUCUUCAAGUGCCGCUAUACUCUAAGGCUGUGGGCGUUGGUCAUUGAAAAAUUUCACAUCUUCGAGUUGGACACCUCUUCAUGGCACUUGUUGGACUCCGUCAACGCUUGGUGGACAAGCACUUGUGACGCCGGCACGCCAAACCGUCAAGCCAAAGCCUCCCUCACCAUGCUUGUGUCAUGGACAAUUUGGAAUGAGCGAAAUGCAAGAGUGUUUAGGUUUAAAAGCGCUCCACCGACUAUCUUGCUUAACACCAUCACGACCGAGGCCAACCUUUGGGUCACCGCCCGUGCAAAAAAAUUAGGGUCUUUCAUAUCGCGAGAGUAA